rnacentral:rRNA from 1 species
AUUGAACGCUGGCGGCAUGCCUUACACAUGCAAGUCGAACGGCAGCACGGGAGCUUGCUCCUGGUGGCGAGUGGCGAACGGGUGAGUAAUACAUCGGAACGUACCCAGUAGUGGGGGAUAACGCACCGAAAGGUGCGCUAAUACCGCAUACGACCUACGGGUUAAAGCGGGGGACCGUAAGGCCUCGCGCUAUUGGAGCGGCCGAUGUCUGAUUAGCUAGUUGGGGGGGUAAAAGCCCACCAAGGCGACGAUCAGUAGCUGGUAUGAGAGGACGAUCAGCCACACUGGGACUGAGACACGGCCCAGACUCCUACGGGAGGCAGCAGUGGGGAAUUUUGGACAAUGGGGGCAACCCUGAUCCAGCAAUGCCGCGUGUGCGAAGAAGGCCUUCGGGUUGUAAAGCACUUUUGUCAGGGAAGAAAUCUUUCAGGCUAAUACCCUUGGAAGGAUGACGGUACCUGAAGAAUAAGCACCGGCUAACUACGUGCCAGCAGCCGCCGUAAGAC